AUGCAUGCCAAGGAGCUGGAUCUGCUAUCCGAGGCGAUGGUGAUCGUCAGAUCCUGGAUCGGCACAACCUUCAGAGACCGGUUGCUAGCCAGGAGUGUGACCACCUUGUACCUCAGUGUAAAUGUCACCACAGAGAUAGAGAUGUGGAACAACAUAAUCUCUCUCAAGUUCGCCAAUGACGAUUUCACAAAAGAAUGGAGACAAACGUUCACUAGGGACUUGGAGGGCAAAUUGAAACAGGAGUCUCCUCUGGAUCAGAUAGAGAUCUACUGUUCCAAGAUUGAGGUCCUGAAUGAAUCUCACCCUCACGUAGCCAAGACUAUCGAGAAAUGUGCCCUAGAAGCUGUCACCUCACUGUGCCAGGUAAGUAGACUGGUUACACUUGACUUAAAUACAGAUUCAAUAUACAGUACCAGUCAAGUUUGGACAAAACUACUCAUUCCAGGGUCUUUCUUGAUUUGCACUAUUUUCUACAUUGUAGAAUAAUACUGAAGACAUCAAAACUAUGAAAUAACACAUGGAAUCAUGUAGUAACCAAAAAAGUGUCAAACAAAUCAAAAAGCUGUCAUCAAGGAAAAGGGUGGCUACUUUGAAGA
rnacentral:lncRNA from 1 species